rnacentral:rRNA from 1 species
CCUACGGGAGGCAGCAGUGGGGAAUAUUGGGCAAUGGGCGCAAGCCUGACCCAGCAAAGCCGCGUGAAGGAAGAAGGCUUUCGGGUUGUAAACUUCUUUUCUGAGGGACGAAGAAAGUGACGGUACCUCCCGAAUAAGCCACGGCUAACUACGUGCCAGCAGCCGCUGUAAUACGUAGGUGGCGAGCGUUAUCCGGAUUUCUUGGGUGUAAAGGGCGUGUAGGCGGGAAAGCAAGUCAGAUGUGAAAACUCAGGGCUCAACCCUGGGCCUGCAUUUGAAACUGUUUUUCUUGAGUGCUGGAGAGGCAAGCGGAAUUCGGGGUGUAGCGGUGAAAUGCGUAGAUAUACGGAGGAACACCAGUGGUGAAGGCGGAUUGCUGGACAGUAACUGACGCUGAGGCGCGAAAGCGUGGGGAGCGAACAGGAUUAGAUACCCCAGUAGUC